rnacentral:rRNA from 1 species
UACGGGGGGGGGCAAGCGUUGUUCGGAAUUACUGGGCGUAAAGGGCUCGUAGGCGGCCAACUAAGUCAGACGUGAAAUCCCUCGGCUUAACCGGGGAACGGCGUCUGAUACUGGAUGGCUAGAGGUUGGGAGAGGGAUGCGGAAUUCCAGGUGUAGCGGUGAAAUGCGUAGAUAUCUGGAGGAACACCGGUGGCGAAGGCGGCAUCCUGGACCAAUUCUGACGCUGAGGAGCGAAAGCCAGGGGAGCAAACGGG